GCCCUGGUAGCUUAGACGGUAAAGCACCCGCCUGCAAUGCAGGAGACCCAGGACAGAUCCCUGGGUAGGGAA
rnacentral:tRNA from 1 species